rnacentral:rRNA from 1 species
CCUACGGGUGGCUGCAGUGGGGAAUAUUGCACAAUGGGCGCAAGCCUGAUGCAGCCAUGCCGCGUGUGUGAAGAAGGCCUUCGGGUUGUAAAGCACUUUCAGCGGGGAGGAAGGCGGUGAGGUUAAUAACCUCAUCGAUUGACGUUACCCGCAGAAGAAGCACCGGCUAACUCCGUGCCAGCAGCCGCGGUAAUACGGAGGGUGCAAGCGUUAAUCGGAAUUACUGGGCGUAAAGCGCACGCAGGCGGUCUGUCAAGUCGGACGUGAAAUCCCCGGGCUCAACCUGGGAACUGCAUUCGAAACUGGCAGGCUAGAGUCUUGUAGAGGGGGGUAGAAUUCCAGGUGUAGCGGUGAAAUGCGUAGAGAUCUGGAGGAAUACCGGUGGCGAAGGCGGCCCCCUGGACAAAGACUGACGCUCAGGUGCGAAAGCGUGGGGAGCAAACAGGAUUAGAUACCCCUGUAGUC